rnacentral:rRNA from 1 species
CAUGCAGUCGAACGGUAGCAGGAAGUGCUUGCACUUUGCUGACGAGUGGCGGACGGGUGAGUAAUACUUAGGAACAUGCCUUUGUGUGGGGGAUAACCAUUGGAAACGAUGGCUAAUACCGCAUAAUGUCUUUGGACCAAAGAGGGCUUUCGGGCUCUCGCGCAAAGAGUGGCCUAAGUGAGAUUAGCUUGUUGGUGAGGUAAAGGCUCACCAAGGCGACGAUCUCUAGCUGUUCUGAGAGGAAGAUCAGCCACACUGGGACUGAGACACGGCCCAGACUCCUACGGGAGGCAGCAGUGGGGAAUAUUGCACAAUGGGGGCAACCCUGAUGCAGCCAUGCCGCGUGUGUGAAGAAGGCCUUCGGGUUGUAAAGCACUUUCAGUUGUGAGGAAAGGUUGGUGGUUAAUACCCAUCAGCUGUGACGUUAGCAACAGAAGAAGCACCGGCUAACUCCGUGCCAGCAGCCGCGGUAAUACGGAGGGUGCGAGCGUUAAUCGGAAUUACUGGGCGUAAAGCGCACGCAGGCGGUUAUAUAAGCUAGAUGUGAAAGCCCCGGGCUCAACCUGGGAAUAGCAUUUAGAACUGUAUGACUAGAGUCUUGGAGAGGGGGGUGGAAUUCCAGGUGUAGCG